rnacentral:rRNA from 1 species
GACGAAUGCUGGCUGCGCGCUUAACACAUGCAAGUCGAACGGUGAAGGGGAGCUUGCUCCCCGGAUCAGUGGCGAACGGGUGAGUAACACGUGGGCAACCUGCCCCUCACUCUGGGAUAACUCCGGGAAACCGGGGCUAAUACCGGAUACGACCGGGAGCGACAUCGCUCCUGGUGGAAAGAACUUCGGUGAGGGAUGGGCCCGCGGCCUAUCAGCUAGUUGGUGGGGUAACGGCCCACCAAGGCGACGACGGGUAGCCGGCCUGAGAGGGCGACCGGCCACAAUGGGACUGAGACACGGCCCAGACUCCCACGGGAGGCAGCAGUGGGGAAUAUUGCGCAAUGGGCGAAAGCCGGACGCAGCGACGCAGCGUGAGGGACGAAGGCCUUCGGGUUGUAAACCUCUUUCAGCGGGGACGAAGCGAAAGUGACGGUACCCGCAGAAGAAGCACCGGCUAACUACGUGCCAGCAGCCGCGGUAAUAC